GAUGAACGCUGGCGGCGUGCCUAACACAUGCAAGUCGAGCGAUUUACUUCGGUAAAGAGCGGCGGACGGGUGAGUAACGCGUGGGUAACCUGCCCUGUACACACGGAUAACAUACCGAAAGGUAGGCUAAUACGGGAUAAUAUGCUUUAGUCGCAUGGCUGAAGUAUCAAAGCUCCGGCGGUACAGGAUGGACCCGGGUCUGAUUAGCUAGUUGGUAAGGUAACGGCUUACCAAGGCGACGAUCAGUAGCCGACCUGAGAGGGUGAUCGGCCACAUUGGAACUGAGACACGGUCCAAACUCCUACGGGAGGCAGCAGUGGGGAAUAUUGCACAAUGGGCGAAAGCCUGAUGCAGCAACGCCGCGUGAGCGAUGAAGGCCUUCGGGUCGUAAAGCUCUGUCCUCAAGGAAGAUGAUGACGGUACUUGAGGAGGAAGCCCCGGCUAACUACGUGCCAGCAGCCGCCGUAA
rnacentral:rRNA from 1 species